rnacentral:lncRNA from 1 species
GUUGUGUCCCGAGACUAGGACGUGGCUCCAGGAGUGCUCGGGCCAGCUGGUCCUUUUCCCAUCCCUCCCCAUGAAGGAGGGAGGCUGGUAGCUUUGCCAGCAGCUGCGCCGCGGCAGGGGUGGCCCAUGGACCUGCCCGAGGGCCCGGUGGGUGGCCCCACUGCGGAAAGUGCUCCAGAAGGAGAGACUGCCCUGUUGGCUGGGACCCCAGAGCAACUCCUGACUCACUGUGGGAGCUCACUUACUGUUGAGUGAACGGACGGAUGAAAGAGGUAACACCAACCCCAUUUUCCAGAGGAAGAAACUGAGGCCCAAGAGAAGUUGAGUCCAUUGCCCCAGUGUACCUCCGGGAGCGGCCUGAGGAGGCAAGGCUGGGAAUGCCGGUCAGCUUGGAGGAGCAAAUACUCAACUCCACGUUCGAAGCUUGUGACCCUCAGAGGACAGGCACUGUGGCUGUGGCCCAGGUGCUGGCC